UGUAGCGACACGCACGUCAUGUAAAACCAUAGUAGUCUUUCUUAAGUACCUUAGAGAGUAAAGCGUGAUAAGCUAACGCGUGUUUUGAGAAGUUUGAGUUGAAAACGAGUUAGUCACGUUGUGUUUCUGAACUGGUGGACGUGGGUCAGUGGCGACCGUGGAAAUAAAGCAAAAGAAAGUUGAGAUUUGUACGAGGUAGAAGUCAUAAGCUAAGUGCCCAGAAAUUCAUGUGUAAGGGGUGACACCAGGGGGUGUCGCUGUGGCCCCACAGGUAGAAUCCUGAUAAAUAGGAAGUGGGUAGCCCAGCCCCAGUGUGGUGCUAGUUUCUGUGGGGAGCCAGGCUGUUUGCUGGACCCACGCUGUGUUGGUCGCGUUUGAAGCGUUGGGACCAAAUGCGGUUUUAAGCCAAGUGAUGGUGAGGACCCGUGGUGGUGAUUGAAGCUGUGUGUGAGGCGUUCAUGACAUGCAGCACUGUCCAUUGUCACCUGCUGUCCUUGUUAGUGUUUUUUUGCUUUUGUUAGUCCGUCCCCUAGGGAGGUUAAAUUGUAUAUUCAGCCUCUGUGUUUGUGUGUACGGACGGACUGAC